ACAAUGGAGAGUUUGAUCCUGGCUCAGGAUGAACGCUGGCGGCGUGCCUAAUACAUGCAAGUCGAACGCUUCACUUCGGUGAAGAGUGGCGAACGGGUGAGUAAUACAUAAGUAACCUGGCAUCUA
rnacentral:rRNA from 1 species